UGGGGCAGGCUCGGAGCCCCAACCCGCGGGCCUCACCGGCCAGGCGCGAUGCUGCCCCACCGGAAGCACGAGGCCGAAUUCCAAGCGAUUGUCCUUCCUUACCUGGGGUCGUGUGACCCCUGCGCCUGCUCUCCAGGGCCCGUAGUCGCCGUGGCCUGGGGCGAGGCAGUGGGCCUAGACCCCGCAGGCCGAGUUUGUGGGAUAACCUAGGUACUCUGUAUCCAUGCCAUUCGUUACGUAUAGAUUUUUUUACUCUGUCCGCUUUGAGCCCUCGUCUUUCUGGUAUUCUCCUGACCGCCCUCUUUCCAAAAAGGAAUAGUUAUUCGUUCAACAAAUAUUAAUUGAACUACUAUUUUGUGUGUCAGCCGCUACUUUUAGGUACUUGAGAUGGAAAGUUUAAGAGCACCUGGUUUCUGUCCUCCAGGGACUUAAAGUCAAGCGGAGCUGUAGACUAGGGAAUAAGUAAUUACAAGACAAUACUCUUAAUUGCUAGUUAAGUACAUGAUGCCUUGGGAACACCUAAAGCGGAGUUCAAACUGGAGGGGGGUCAGGAAGUUUCCUGAAAGUGAUACAGAUAGUUGAGCUUAAGGGUUGGUUAGAAAAAGAAGGGAAGAGACGGUGUAUUUCAGCUGAGGGAACAGCUCAGAGGCUGCAAGCGUGCCGUCUAGGAAUUCAGAGAAGUUCAGAAUGGCUGAAGAUUGCUUGCAAAAGGGGAGUGGAAAAUUGAGACUGAGAAGGAAAUGCUAGGGAGUUUUUAAAGCUUUAUGCUAAAGGCAACAAGAAAUUGAAAGAUGUUGAGCAUAGGAGUGGCACCAUGCAAUUUACAUUUUUGAAAAAUCACUCUGGCUUUGUAUGGAGAGUGGAUUAGAACAGACAAGAUUGGUACCUAAAGGACCCCUUAAGAAAUAUGACAUAAUGAUGGCCUGGAUGUCAGCUGAAAUGAUUUGAGAGCUACUUCAGCAAGUACAAUGGCCUAGGCUUGGAAGUUGAUUGUAUAUAAAGAGUGAGAGAGAGAGAGAAGAAACGGGAUGAUGUCAGAUUUCUGGUUUGGAAAGCCCGUUAGGUAGUGAAGCCCUUCACUGAGAGAACAUGGCAGAAACAGCUUUGGAGACAGAAUGCGUAAUGGAUGCGUAAGUAUUUUGAUGUAUGGAUCAAGGGGGUGAUCUAAACUGGGAUAUAGAUUAGCGUAUUGGUGGAUUGGAGGGAAUGAGAUAUAUAGAGUAUUGCUAGAAGAUAAACUGAGGCAUAUUAAAAAUUUUAAGAGUGUUUGAGCAGAAGUCGAUUGGAAUUGGGCAGGGCCAAACCAGAUGCAGUUAAGAGUGCCAACAGGAGCCAGGGGAAGGGCAUAUGCUAGAGGAGAUGUGGCAGCCAGGAAAGGAAAUUAUACUCGUGUUGCUUAAUGACGGGGAUACAUUCUGAGAAAUGCGUCGUUAGGUCAUUUCAUCAUUGUGUGAACAUCGCAGAAUGUAUGUAUACAAACCUAAUGGUAUAGCCUACUACACACUAGGCUAUAUGGUACUAAUUGUGGAGGAUGACAUGAGUGGAGCCAUAUUAAAAUAGAUCCAGAGUAGCUGUUUCAGAGGAAUUUCCUUGCACGUCUUAUUUUCUUUAUCUUCCAAACUGGACCAAACCACCGACAAUCCAAGAAAUCAGUAAGGACAAGAAUAUACUGUUUGUAAGGACUGAUAAAACUGGACUUUGCUGGUGACCGAAUUGCUAACCAAUCAGUGAAGUACAAGUUUUAGCCUUUUGCCUGAUGACCAAAUCUUAAGCGAAUCAAUGAAGUACAAACUUAGCCUUACCUCGUCUAGCACCAAUGAACUCUUCUUUAAAACAGCUCACCUCAUCCUCCCUUUUUCCCAUAAAAACCUUAAGACCCUCUCCUGUAAUCAGAACACGUUUUGGGUUUCUACCUGAAUCUGUGCCUCCCUAAUUGCAAUUCUAAUUGCUCAAAUAAAUAUCUGCUGUUUAAACAGUAGUGAUUUUUUGUCGGUCAGCAUAGUCUUAUGGGACCACUGUCAAAUAUGCAGUCUCUCGUUGACUCUAAGGUCGUGUCAUGCACAUGACUGUAUUUGAUUGGCUAUAGCUUAAAGCCAGUUGGUAUUUGUGAUUUGUUGUUCUUAGCAUUUAGAUUUUGUAAUCUUGAGGCAUUCAUAGGCUUAGAUUUUGGUUUGUUUACGUAGACUGCCAAGGCAUUAGAGCCAUCUCAGUCUAAUGGCCUUCUUGUUUAAUUAAUUUCACAGUAUGAAAAGAACAGGGUCCUUGACCACACUCUGAGGAACUGUAUAUUUAAGGAUGGACAGAGAAAGAGGAGCGAGACCCCAAAGGAUACUCACAAGAAGCAGUCAGAAAGAGUGGCUGUACCAUUUUACAUUCUCACCAGCAAUUAUAGGAGUAAUCCAGUUUCUCUGCAUCCUUGCCAACAUUUGGUGUUGUCACUACUGUUUAUUUCAACCAUUCUGAUUGAGAAACACUGGUAUAGACCAUGCUGAAGGCAAUGAAGAGUCCCUGAAAGGGUUUAAGCAGGAGUGAUGUGAUCAGAUCUGCGUUUUGGGAAGAUCAUUCUGGCUGUAAUGUGGAGAACAGAUUGGAAGGAACCGUCCUGGAAAUAUGGAGAUGAGUUGGAUGGCUAGUGCAGUAAUCCAGCUAUAAACCCAUACAAGUACCAGAGUUUGUUUUUGGCCAAGUCAUAAUCGUGAGUGAAGAACCAUGGAUGGAGAACAUUUUAUUUGGUCUUCAACUGCUUUCUUAAAAUCAGCAAUUUGCUAAAGUGAGUCUUCAACAUAAGUACUGAAUUUUAAUGACUAUCUCCCCUUUAUAGUUCCUCAGAAGCCUUUGGUAUAUAAAAUUAUACUCAAUAUGGUAGAAUUUAUCAGUUAGAAACAUUUUGAGGAGAAAAUGCCUGUGUAAAGAAAUGAAUAUUAAGAAAAAGAAAUGAAUAUUGAGGCUGUUUGAUUAAUUCAGUUCUAAGAUAGUUGUUUACUGUCGCAUAGUCACUGACAGACUUUGUUCCGUCUAUCAGAAAAGUACAUUUUAUUAUGCUAAAAGUGUAUUUACUCUAAAUUAUUAAUAAAUUCUGAA